AGGCCUCUGCCCAGGUCGCGGGGCCCUGGCAGCUGGCAGGAGAUGCCUUGCCCUCCAUUUCAAUGCUGCGAGCAUCCUCCGUGACCUUCUCUCUCCCUUCCCAGCACACACUGACACAUCCAGCCUAAAUUUGCGUCUCGCAUCACCUCAGGAUACUCAUGGCUAAUUUCAUUAUUUUGGAGAGAAAAUGCAAAUGAAGCCAGACAGCUGGUGCUUUCCUCAUGGCGAGGAGUGAUGGAGGGGCCUGAGGCCUACCUCAUCAGAGGCUCUCAUACCCGUCUGCUCAGACAGGCCCUGGCGGGAGGAGAGCAGAGAGGCUGCAGGAGCAGCGGGAACAGAUGGCAGGGAAGUCCUAACACAGGGAAGGAAUCCAUAAGGAGACCAACAUGAUCUUCUUCACACUGGUUUACCAAUGAUUUCAACCUUGACCCAAAGGGAACACUUCUUCUGGAAGUGACAGUUCUAGGAACUGAGAAAAUUUGAGCAACAGCUACAAGGUACCACUAGUGAUGCUGGAGACAUUGCAAAAUGCUGGAGAAAGGAAGGAAAGGACAUGGAGGACAAGUGUCAAAUGGCUUAAGACAACUGUGCUACUUUGCUACUUUCGAGAAACAACUUCAUACUUGUGUGUCAUGCGUGAAAAAAAAAAAAAAGAGAAACUGGAAAUUGGAGAGAUAAGUAAGACAUGGGUAGGCCAUCUGGGCUUAGAUUGUAAGGCCAUUCAGGAAUGACUUGCUGCUUCAACAUCCAACUGGACCAGUUGUUUAUAAGAGAAAGUGCUUUUUGCCCUACUAGUUACUGAGAUAUUGGUGCCACAGCCUAAACUACACAGUAGUCAACUUGAAGUUUCCACAGUAGGACACAAAACAGAAGACAUGUUGAACUGUGAAUUAACUCACAUAUUUUUAGGUCAGGAGGGAGAUACAGAGGAUGGCCUGGGUGUAUUAUCAUUUCCUCCAUUACAGAUUAAUAGAGCCAUCAAUCCUGCUUUUUCCGUGGAAAUUAAAUAACUUUGAAAGGAUGAGUGUUUCAUGUGGUGUAUUUAAGGAUGUAGGAUAUUCUGUAAGGUGAGAGUAGGGAGAUAUGACAAAAUGCAGAAGACAGAGGUAUGGCUGAGAAGGUGAUUGCUCAAGGGUCAGGAUAAAUAACACAAGUACCUGAAGGUCACUGCAGAGCAAAAACUCAGUGGGAAUUACUGGUUUAAAAGAAUUGUGUUUCUAAAUCAUCACAUUGAUAUAUCCACAUGACAAAUCAAUUGAUUCAGUGAGUUUCAUUGUCACACAACUGAAGUAAUGGAAGCAGCAAACCAGGUUAAAAUAUUUUCUGUUCACACCUCUUCUAUUGUGGAAAAUAAGGAAAUACUGCUGGGGAAAUAGGAACAAUACCAAAAGAAGUGGUCAAUAAAUUCAGAGUGACUGAACAGAUUGGAUGAUUGAAGAACCUGGUAAUGGUAUGUGGAACAUUUCUUUUGUCAGUCACUGAUGCAAACCUGGAUCAGGUCGAGAAUGACAAAAACUGGUGACCAUAUGAGAAAUGAGUCAGAGCUGUUGGUAUUCAUGUUAGUGAAAACGCCAUGAUGAUUGACAAUAAUUGGAACUCUUGUUAACAUUAUCAGCAGAGAGGGAAACCAUGGUCUAAGCAGACAUAAAGGUUGAUUGCUCCUUUCCUCUGAAAGCAGAAAAAGCCUUGUUAAAUAAUAGACAAGGCAGACAAUGGUGAUUGUGUCUCUGCUCACCAUAUAAAGAAGCUUGCCCAGGAUUUUUUGCAGUCUAUCCUGUACCUUUAGGUAACCUGAUAGUAAUUUUAAUUUAGGGGUGCAAAGAAAAAUUAGGAUGCCUCAGAAGUGACUACAUCAAGCAUCAUUAGUGUUGCUUUCUUGCUCUUACUCCUUAAGAAGGUAGAAACUUCCAUUGUCUUCUUGGCUCUGUUCUGAAGAACUGAAAAAAGUAAUCUUUCAUGUCUUUUCCUUCAAAUCUCUUACUUUGAAAACUUGUUGUUUUAAAUGUUUAAAAAGUAUUGGAAUCUUCCACUUAAUGAACUUAUUACCAGUAAUUACUGUCAAAUUUGAGUAUCUUCU